rnacentral:rRNA from 1 species
UACGUAGGGUGCAAGCGUUAUCCGGAAUUAUUGGGCGUAAAGAGCUCGUAGGCGGUUUGUCACGUCUGCUGUGAAAACUGGAGGCUCAACCUCCAGCCUGCAGUGGGUACGGGCAGACUAGAGUGCGGUAGGGGAGAUCGGAAUUCCUGGUGUAGCGGUGAAAUGCGCAGGAUAUCAGGAGGAACACCGGUGGCGAAGGCGGAUCUCUGGGCCAUUACUGACGCUGGAGGAGCGAAAGCGUGGGGAGCGAACAGG